rnacentral:lncRNA from 1 species
GGAGAGAGCUUUCCUCGCUUUGAGGUCUUGCAUUUCGAUAAUAAAGUCUUACAAAAACAAAUCCUGACAGCUACAGUGUCAAUAAUGAUUCAAAACAAACAAAAGCUCCAGCACAAAGUUAAAGAAUGAAGAGCAGUAGGGAGUAGGGCUUCCACCAUAGAUGUCACUCACAGACAACACUAUUACAUGUAAAAGAAUUCUACUCAGAUUUGCUAUUCUAGAGGUUCGAAUCCACUGGCAACUAAAAAUCUUUGAAUUUCAGGCAUCUAGUCUAGGAAUGGAAGUUCUGUCAUUUGGAAUUGGCUUGUAUCUACAGAUGUUACUCGGACAGGUUUGUUACUUUGUGUUUUUUGCGGCAACUAAGAUGGAGCUGAAGCUGAAGUAUUAUUUUAAUUUUUGGUUGCAAUCAUCUGCAUUUGCUGCUUUUUUUAAUGUAAUAAAUGAAUGAAAAUAUGCUCUUUU